rnacentral:rRNA from 1 species
AUUGAACGCUGGCGUCAGGCCUAACACAUGCAAGUCGAACGAGUGGCGGACGGGUGAGUUAUGUCUGGGAAACUGCCUGAUGGAGGGGGAUAACUACUGGAAACGGUAGCUAAUACCGCAUACCCUCAGAUGUGCCCAGCUGGGAUUAGCUAGUUGGUGGGGUAACGGCUCACCAAGGCGACGAUCCCUAGCUGGUCUGAGAGGAUGACCAGCCAAACUGCAAAUGAUACAAGGUCCAGACUCCUACGGGAGGCAGCAGUGGGGAAUAUUGCACAAUGGGAGACAGCAUGAUGCAGCCAUGCCGCGUGGAUGAAGAAGGCAUUCGGGUUGUAAAGAACUUUCAGCGGGGAGGCGUUACCCGCAGAGGAAGCACCGGCUAACUCCGUGCCAGCAGCCGCUGUAAUAA